ensembl:lncRNA
UACCUGCCAAGACUCCCGCCCCUUCAUUUCAGGACCUGGAAGUAGACAUCCCUUGGUAAGUAUAGAUGGGUUCCUCAGUGGAAGACCACUCCCACCAGCCUGAUAGUUCAAUAGUCAACCAUUCCUUUGAAUCAAGUAGGACCAUUCCCUAAAUCCUCUUCCAUAUACUAGUACCCUUGGGAAUGAUAUACCCAUUAACUCAUAAUAGUGAGUGAUUCUUUCAGUUUUUCAUCAGAGUUUUGAGAGGAUAGAAUACAGGGGAUGAAGAAGGAGAGAGUAAGGGACUGUGGUUGGGGAAUGCUGGCCCAGGUGUGUCAUUCAAAUUGGAAAUCCCUGGGAGUUCCCUUGUGGCACAGGGGGUUAAGGAUCUGGUGUUGUCACUCCAGUGACUUGGGUCACUGCUGUGGCUUGGGUUUGAUUCUGGGAACUUCUACAUGCCUUGAGUGGGGAAAAAAAAAGAAGGAAAUCCCUGGGAGGCAGAAAGCUGAGUGAGGGGCCUGGUGACAAUCCCUUACUUAUGCCUCUCUCCUUGAUCCUAUUUCUCAUCAUCUCUGCUUAGCCUUCCUUUUUUUUUUUUUUUUUUGCCAUGCCCACAGCAUGCAGAAGCUCCCAGGCCAGAGAUCAAACUUGCAUCUCAGCAGUGACCCAAGCCAUAGCAGGGACAACAAUGGAUCUUUAACCAGCUCCACCACCAGAGAACUCCUAGCCUUACUCUUUUGAGAAAUGUGUAAAUAGAAUCCAACCUCAUCCAAUGAAUUUUCCCAAGUUUCACUCCACAGGACACUGGUCCUACAAGGCACACUUAGAAGAUGCUGUGUAUGGAAAGCCCUUGGGGACUCACAAGUAGAUUAGCACAUUGAUUACUCUGAGAAAUCUGGCAGCUGGGAACCCUAAUGUGUGCGUAUGUAACCCAGCAUUUUCCAAACUUUUUUUGAUGAAAGAUCUCUUUAGUGCAGGUGAAUUGUCAUGUCUUAGCAACACAGUCUGAGAAAAGCUUAUCUGAAGCUCAUGGCCUUUAAUUGCAGGGUUUGCUCUCUGAGUUUUCAGAUACUACAGCCCUAUAUUUCCUUCCUUCGCUAUUGUCCCUUGCUGAUGCCACCCCAUAGCACAUGAGCAGGAAUGAGGCCAAAGGCAUAGUGGACACUUUGCCGCUUUGUCGGCUUUCCUAGCAAAAGAUUUAGUUAGGAACAGAUUUAAAUAAUUCCUAUAGUUAACAGACUAGCCACAGAUUGUGACUAUCUAGACUCUCUUUUCUUUAUUAAUUUGGAAAAAUUGGAAUUGUUCUCAGCAAAACUUGGCUCCUUUAAAAGCAGUAGCCUCCUUAGCAAGCUUCUUGUCAUUCUUCUGUAAUCUUUGGAAAGAGCCCAAACAUCUCCAUUCCCCAAGGAGAGCUGGUUCAGGAAAACUACCAUUGUUCCUGGCUGGAGAAUAUUUCAAAUAGAAUCAGUACAGAUGUGCCUGGAUAUCCAGGAUGUUGCCUGGAAGCUGCCAAACUACCAUCUGAGACCACAAGAGGCAGAGCCCAGGGCUCACACUAAAGACUUUGCUUUUCAAGGUGGGGUCUCUGAACCAGACCCCUAGAACUCAGAAAUGCAGGAUCCCUGGUCCCACCCCAGACCCAGCAAAGAAUCUGCCUUUGAACAGAUCCCCAAGUGAUUUGUGAUUGCUUAUAUCUCAAAGUCGAAGAAAUACCGGGAUUCAUCCCAUCCUUUUUCAUCAAUUCAACAAGAAAUUACUGAGCACCCCAUUCUACAAUAGCUCUGUCUUGAGGACAUAGUGGUGAAAAACCAGAGAAGUUCCUGGUUCUCAUGCACUUUACAUUCAACUGGGGGAGACAGGCAUAAGUUGAAAACAAAAGAUUUCAGGAAGUGGCAAAUGCUUGAAGAAAUAAGAGCACCAUGGCUUAGACAAUGACCUGGGGCAGAGUCCCCAUUGCAACUCAGUGGGUUAAGAACCUGACGUAGUCUCCGUGAGAAUGCGGGUUCAACCCCUAGCCUCGCUCAAUGGGUUAAGGAUACGGCAUUGCCACAAGCUGCGGAGUAGUUUAUAGAUGUGCCUCGGAUCUGGUGUUGCUGUGGCUGUGGAACAGGCCUCAGCUGCAGUUCUGAUUUGACCGCUAACCCCCAGGAAUUUCCAUACGGAGCUGUAAAAAGAAAAAAGAAAGAAAAAGAUUGAGGGUGAGAGGCAAGAGUCAGGAAGGGUCUCUUUGAAUAGAGACCUGCCCAGAGGGAGGGGGAGGGAGGAAGGGAGGGAGGGAGAGAAGGUGGGGGUGGUGGGAACACUCCAGGCAGAUGGCACAGCUAGAGCAAAGGCCUUGAGGAAGAGUAUUGGGACAAUGGAAAGAAAACAAGCCAGCAUGGCUAAAGCUUAGUUAAUUAGGAACUCAGAAGUCAGAGAGGCAGGGAAGGGCCAGAUUAUGCAUGUCAGUGACUCUGAAACUUUCCGCACAUCAGAAUCACUUGGAGGAGCGCUUCUUAAGACACAGAUGGCUGGGUCCUGCCCUGAGAGUUUCUGUUUGAGCUGCUCUGGGGCGGAGCCCAAGUAUUUGCAUUCCUGACAAGGUCCAGGUGAUGCUGAUGCCUCCUGUCCAGGGACUAUUCUUUGACCACCACUGCUGUUGAGCCCCGUGGGGCCUUGUUAUGAGCUCAGUUGGUGGAAUACCAUUGGAGGAGUCUAAGCAAGAGAGAGACAAGACCUGAGAUUUUUUUUCAUAUACAAUUUAUAAUGAUUUUUAUUUUUUCCAUUAUGGCUGGUUUACAGUGUUCUGCCAGUUUUCUACUGUACAGCAAGGUGACCCAGUUACACUUACAUGUAUACAUUCCUUUUUCUCCCAUUAUCAUGUUCCAUCGUAAGUGACUAGACAGAAUUUUCAGUGCUACACAGCAGGAUCUCAAUGCUUAUCCAUUCCAAAGGCAAUAGUUUGCAACAAGAUCUGACUUUCACUUUCAUCUAUCACCAACAGAAGUGCACCCCUGUCCCAUCAUCCAUCAUUACCAGGACUUGCAUCCCGUGCCUGCUUUGCUCACCAACUGAUUUGUCCCAACUUCCCAUACUUUCCCUCCAUUUCCUCCCAAACAUUUCCACUUUGUCUUCUGGGUACCCUUGCCCCCCCAAGCCCCUGAUCUGUAGUUCUCAACCUGUAAUGGCCUUCCUGCCCCUUCUUGCUUUAGCUGGAGCCUGACUGGUUCCCAGGACACUAGGGCUGCAGCUCUUUCUGGCAGAGCCUGUUUGAUCUCUUGGUGUCCAUGAACUUCAAGGCCAGGAGGUAGUGUUGGUGCUGCUUGUUCUCCACUGUAGCUCCCAGAGUAUAACUCCUAUCCCCUCUUACAAAGCUCCUUCCCUUUAGAGGGGGACACUAGUCUAGAUCCCAUGUCUUCUUUCACUGAGGGCCAUACCCUUCUUCCUCUCUGGGCAGCUCCUUCCUUCAAUCUCAGUGAGGUGAUCCACACUGAUGCCCCACCCUGCACUCUGGCCUCUCAGUUUCCUCUACUGACUCAUAUCUAAUGACCUUUUCUUCCUCUGUUCCACCUCAAGGUCAUAGUCUGAACCUUGUCCCCACUAGAAUGUCAGGCUCUUGCAAGCUCAAAUGUCCACUGUCUUCUGCAGCCUCCUUUCCUUCAAUGGUCUUGUUCAAGCGUCCAUUGCAAUGAUUCUUCAACUCUAUUGAAAUCACCCUUCCACUGUCUCCACCACUUUUUACUACCCAUCAGCUGCCACCUGUGUUCACUCUUCUUGUCCAGCUUAGGGUUCAUGGUCCAUCACCAUACACACUCUUCAAAAACUCACAAUCCCUACAUCCUCUACUAGAGCACCCUACAAAACACUAAGUGGAUCCAACCAUCCAUUUCUCCAUACCUGCAUUCAAGUAAUUUAAUGUUACUAUGGAAAAGCCCUAUUAGCAGACUGUUUUCACUUUAAGUGUAUGAUCUCAGACCUCAAAGAGGUACUCAAAACGGCAAGGCUAUGUGACUGUGUUUUUCCAGUACACCAGCGUUCAUAUUUUUCGAGGUACCUUUUCUAUACCUUUUUGUUUUUUGUCUUUUGUCUUUUUAGGGCCGUAACUGUGGCAUAUGGAUGUUCCCAAGCUAGGGGUCGAAUCGGAGCUGUUGCUGCCAGCCUAUGCCAGAGCCACAGCAACGCCAGAUCUGAGCCGUGUCUGUGACCUACACCAGAGCUCACAGCAAUGCCGGAUCCUUAACCCACUGAGCGAGGCCAGAGAUCCAACCCGCAACCUCAGAGUUCCUGGUCAGAUUUGUUUCCACUGCGCCACAACGGGAACUCCCUUUUUUAAUCUUAAAACUCCCACAACCCUUCCUGCAUCUUAGCCUCAGCUGAUGAGCUCUGGUCAUAUUUCAUUGAGAAAAGAGAAACUAUCAGAUGUGAAUCCCCUCAUUUUUCCACCUUAAAUUUACACGUCUACAGGUGUUGGCCUCUUCUCCUUCCCUCUGGUCAAUGUGUCUGUCACCUGUCAAAGACCCGUCAUUCCACUGGUGGUCUGAAUGGCCUCCCCACAUUCAUUCAAUCAUCCCCCAUCAGCGUCCCCCCCUCUAUUGGAGCAUGUCCAUUGGCAUACACCCAUGCUUUCAUUAUCUCCCAUCUGUUUCUUCUGUAAUUUAUAUCUGUACUUCUAAAUAAUACAGCUAUUUUCAGCUUCUUCAAUUUUAGACACUUUAAAUUGGUUUCCUGCACCCUCCUCGUGCACAUUCCCCCUUCCACCCUCCCAAUGUCUUUAUAUCACCAUUUUCAGCUUAAACAAUGUUCAGUGUUCGCACUACCAUGACUUAAGUACUCACAGCACAUGUAGGUGGUUAUUCUUUUAUGGGUCAACUUUGUUUUUCUUGGGGUUACAAAUUACCUCAUUUUUCUUCAUUGCUUAGUUUUUAAAGUAUCUAAGUUUUUACCAAAUUUUUCAAAUUGUAAAGUCCUUCUUAUGAACCACAAGUCAUGAAUCAUCACUCUGCAUCUGGCACCUUGGCUUUCCUGACUGAAGUGCGGCUUAGCUGUGAGAAUUGACCCAUGUUCUUGAAUGUGGUCCUUUUAACAUCACAGUCAUAGAAGAGCUGGACAUCGAAGCUGUGGACUCCAGGAGUAAGUGUUCCAACAAACAACAUGGGAGCCAUGAGGCCUUUUAGGACAUUUUGGGUAAGAAAUAACAUAAUGUCACCAUGUUGUAGUGGCUCAAGGAAUCCAGGGCCCACCCACACUCAAGGGAAGGGGCAUAAACCUCGUCUCUCAAUGGGAAGAAGGUCAAAGAAUGUGGCUCUGUUUUUAAACUGCCAGAGGAGUUCCUGUCAUGGCUCAGUGGAACAAAUAUGAUGAGCAUCCAUGAGGACUCAGGUUUGACCCCUGACCUUGCUAAGGGAGUUAAGGAUCUAGUGUUGCUGUGAGCUGUGAUGUAGGUCGCAGAUGCGGCUUGGAUCUGGCGUUGCUGUUGCUGUGGCGUAGACCAGCCACUGCAGUUCUGAUUCAACCCUUAGCCUGGGAACCUCCAUAUGCUGCAGGUGCGGCCCUAAAAAUAAAAAUUAAAAAAUAAACUGCCAGAGACACAUACACUUAUUCUUGCCUUUGAGUGGAAUAUCUUUGGAGGGAAUCACAAGAAAUUGUUAAGAGGAGAAACUGGGUGAUUGGGAGCAGAUAAGGAAAAAAACUAACUUUGCUCUAUAAGCCAUUUUGCAUUGUUUAUAAUUUUGCAUCAUGUGUUUGAACUACCUUUUCAAAAAAUUAAAUACUAAUAACCAUGUCACAGCUUUGCCUGGAGCCACACCUGCCUAUAGAGGCCACGUCAGUUUCUAGGGUCCUUUAAACCACUGCUGUCCAAUAGAAUUUUCUGUGAUGAUGGAAAUAUCUCUGCACUGUCCAGUGUAAUAGCCAUUAGCCACAGGUGGAUAUUACAACGAAAGGAAAUUUAAUUUUAAUUCCUUAAUCAUACUAGCCACAUGCCAAGUCCUAAAUAACUAUGGGUGGCUGGUGGCUACAUCUUGGACAGAGAGCGCUAGACUGUGGGCGACAUUUGCAUGAAUGGGAUGAAGGUGGGAGCAUGAGAUUCUUGAGUCAAUGGUCUCCAAAUAUUUCUAACAUCUACUUCCUAAAACAACUUUAAAGAAGUAUAUACCCCCUUGCCAAAAUGAAAGUUGACGUUUAAAUGCUUCAUCCUUCAUUUGAAAGUUUAUUUUUGUUAGGUGUUAUAAAAGAUUAAACAUUUCAUAAGAUGAGAACGAACUAUAAUAAGAAUAAAUAUUUCAUGAGCUGGUUUGAUAAGAUAAGCUUAAUUACUGAAUAAUGUAGACAGAAUCUGAAGAAAUUGUGUAAAAAAUUUAGCACCACUAACCUAUCUUACUUUAGUUGUUCUAAAUUUAGAGUAGCUCAAUGUGGGCCAUGCUUCACCCUUAACAGAAAUACGCAGGGAAGAACAGGAAGCCCUAAGGGGCAAAGAUGCCUUGAUGAAUCAUUAAAGCUGCUCCCCAGAAACCAAUAUGUCAAUCUCCCCUUUUUCUGGCUCAAGGAGGUUUUUACACCCAAGAGCAAAGCUCCACGUGAUUACAACGGGCAAGGGGGACGUGGGAAAUUUUAUGAAAUUAUUUGAGAAAUCUGUACUUGUAAGUUAAGACUCUGGAAUUGGAUUCUCUUUAGAUCAUCUGUGAACAAUUAACCCCCUUGAAAAAGUCUGUAGACCUUCAGAUGUACUUAAACCUGGAUUUGAAGAAAGCUUCCAUAGGAAGCGGGAGGCUGGGCUUGACACCAUGGUGCCUGCUGCUGCUGCUGCUGUGGAAGUUUCCACUGAAACCUGCCAAGAAGUAAAGCUGAGGACUGCUCCCUGGUACCCCUCAAACAAUGCCUUGUCAGCAUCCCUGUCGUAAGCCUCUGGCCUGCUCUCAAGGACCUGUUUGUCUCUAAGGUAGAAAUAUGGCUGAGGUUUCUUCCACAGAAGCUUGCUUCUCUUGUCUGGAAUUUUUAAGCCUCUCCCCUGGGGGAAAGGAUCCAGUUCAGAGCUGCCUUCUUCCAGGACUUGGAAAGAAUCUGCAGAACAAGACUUAGUUCUUUCUCACCAGUUGAUUAUGCUCCAAAACUUCUCUCCUUACCAUUGCCCCCUCCUCCCUUUUCCAUCUAAUUACUUUAGAUGGAAUAAAAAAUGGAGACGGAUCUGGAGAAUCUCAGUUGACUAGAAUAGGGGAAAAGGGGCUGAGAAGGGCUGACUCAGUGUGACAAAGUGGACAGUGGGCUAAGGAAGGGCUGAUAGGAGUGUCCUGCUCACGGCAUUGUCACAGCUGACUGGGAGUUGCUCAUGCGAUGAAAAUCACACGAGGUCAAAAUUUCCCUUUAAGGUCUCUAAAAUCAGCCUCUGAAUACAGCUCACACGGUGGGAUUUUUGUGCCACAUUGGAGACCAAUAAACUGUCUCUCAUAACAUCCAUAUGAAAACCAUUCCUUUUUCUGGCCAAGUAAGGAUAAAUUGGUGUUUCUUUGGUCAAAUACUAGCUGUAUGGUUGGUUUCCGUCUAUUUCUUGGAGUUCCCAUCAUGGCAUAGUGGAAAUAAAUCUGACUAGCAUCCAUGAGGAUGCGGGUUCAAUCCCUGGCCUUGAUCAGUGGCUUAAGGAUCUGGCAUUUCCAUGAGCUGUGGCGUAGGUUGCAGAUGAGGCUUGGAUCUGGCGUUGCUGUGGCUGUGGUGUAGGCUGGCGGCUACAGCUCUGAUUUGACCCCUAGCUUGGGAACCUCCAUAUUGCCACAGCUGUGGCCCUAAACAGAAAAAAAAAA